rnacentral:ncRNA from 2 species
UUCUCUUUUUUGGGGUGUUUCUUCGGAAUCUGAGAAUAUACCCAAUGAACCUGAUCCGGGCAAUGCCGGCGAAGGGAAAAAAGAGAAUGAUGGG